rnacentral:rRNA from 1 species
CUGCAGCCCGAGUGGUGAUCGAUUUUAUUGAGCCUAAAGCGUCCGUAGCCGGACUAGUAAACCCUUGGGUAAAUUGGGCAGCUUAACUGUCCAAAUUCCGAGGGGACUGCUAGUCUUGGGACCGGGAGAGGUCAGAGGUACUCAAGGGGUAGGGGCUAAAUCCUGUAAUCCUUUGGGGACCACCAGUGGCGAAGGCGUCUGACUAGAACGGAUCCGACGGUAAGGGACGAAACCCUGGGGCGCGAUCCGGAUUAGAUACCCGUGUAGUCC